rnacentral:rRNA from 1 species
GACGUAGGGGGCCAGCGUUGUUCGGAAUUACUGGGGUGUAAAGGGUUCGUAGGCGGUGUGGCAAGUCGGGAGUGAAAUCUCUGGGCUCAACCCAGAGUCUGCUUCCGAAACUGCUGUGCUUGAGUGUGGGAGAGGCGCGUGGAAUUGCAGGUGUAGCGGUGAAAUGCGUAGAUAUCUGCAGGAACACCCGUGGCGAAAGCGGCGCGCUGGACCACUACUGACGCUGAGGAACGAAAGCUAGGGGAGCAAACAGG